rnacentral:RNase_P_RNA from 1 species
GCGGAUGGCUGGAUGACCGCGGGUCGCCCUCGGGCGGCACGAGGAAAGUCCGGACUCCCUGAAGCGACGGUGCCGGGUAACGCCCGGCCGGGGAAACCCGAGGGAAAGCGCCACAGAGAUGAGACCGCCCGCGUCCGCGCGGGCAAGGGUGAAACGGUGGGGCAAGAGCCCACCGCGGACCUGGCAACAGGGACGGCACGGCAAGCCCCACCGGGAGCAAUGCCAAAUAGGGGCCUCGCGCGGGCUGAUCGGGCAACCGAUAUCGCCGCAGGGACGCUUCAGCCCGAGAGGCCCGGGUUGGCAGCUUGAUCCCGCCGGUAACGGCGGGACCAGAGGAAUGGUCAUCCAGGGGGCGAAAGUCCCCGGACAGAAUCCGGCUUACAGGCCAUCCGCGCAC